rnacentral:rRNA from 1 species
UACGUAGGGUGCGAGCGUUGUCCGGAAUUAUUGGGCGUAAAGAGCUCGUAGGCGGCUUGUCGCGUCGAAUGUGAAAACUCGGGGCUCAACUCCGAGCUUGCAUUCGAUACGGGCAGGCUAGAGUUCGGUAGGGGAGACUGGAAUUCCUGGUGUAGCGGUGAAAUGCGCAGAUAUCAGGAGGAACACCGGUGGCGAAGGCGGGUCUCUGGGCCGAUACUGACGCUGAGGAGCGAAAGCGUGGGGAGCGAACAGG